rnacentral:rRNA from 1 species
GGUUUGAUCAAACGUUUGAACGCUGGCGGGAUGCUUUACACAUGCAAGUCGAACGGCAGCACGGACUUCGGUCUGGUGGCGAGUGGCGAACGGGUGAGUAAUGUAUCGGAACGUGCCUAGUAGCGGGGGAUAACUACGCGAAAGCGUAGCUAAUACCGCAUACGCCCUUCGGGGAAAGCGGGGACCUUCGGGCCUCGCACUAUUAGAGCAGCCGAUAUCGGAUUGGCUAGUUGGUGGAGUAACGGCUCACCAAGGCGACGAUCCGUAGCUGGUUUGAGAGGACGACCAUACACUGGGACUGAGACACGGCCCGGACUCUGCGGGAGGCGCGGUGGGGGAAUUUUGGACAAUGGGAAACCCUGAUCCAGCCAUCCCCGCGUGUGCGAUGAAGGCCUUCGGGUUGUAAAGCACUUUUGGCAGGAAAGAAACGGCACGGAUAAUACCGUGCAACUGACGGUACCUGCAGAAUGGCGCAACAACUACGUGCCUUGUACCGAUAAUACGUAGGAAUUGCUGAAAGCGUUAAGUCAGAUUACUGGGCGUAAAGCGUGCGCAGGCGGACAAGAAGAAAGAUCGUAGAAAUCCAGAGCGUUGCUGGAACUGCAUUUUUAACUACCGAGCUAGAGUGUGUGUCAGAGGAGUGGAAUUCCGCGUGUAGCAGUGAAAUGCGUAGAUAUGCGGAGGAACACCGAUGGCGAAACCAGCCUCCUGGAUAACACUGACGCUCAUGCACGAAAACGUGAGGCAAACAGGAUUAGAUACCCUGGUAGUCCGCCUAAACGAUAAACUAGCUGUUGGGGCCUUCGGGCCUUGGUAUGUACAAGCUAACGUGAAGUUGACCACUGGGAGAUACGGUCGCAAGAUUAAAACUCAAAGGAAUUGACGGGGACCCGCACAAGCGGUGGAUGAUGUGAAUUAAUAUUCGAUGCAACGCGAAAAACCUUACUACCCUUGACACGUCUAGAUCCCGAAGAGAUUUGGGAGUGCUCGCAAGAGAAUCGGAGACACAGGUACCGCAGCAUGUCGAAGAACUCGUGUCAUUAGAGAUGUUGGGUUAAGUCCGUAACAGGCACAACCACUUGUCAUUAGUUGCUACGAAAGGGCACUCUAAUGCGUUAUGGCUAAUGGAGGAAAGUGAGAUGACGUCAGUCUCAUGGCCUAUGGGCAGGGCUUCACACGUCAUACAAUGGUCGGGACAGGGUCGCCUUCGCCCUUGAGGAGGCUGUCCCGAAACCCGAUCGUAGUCCGGAUCGCAGUCUGCCGCUCGACUGCGUAAGUCGGAGAUCGCUAGUAAUCGCCUGUGGAUCAGCAUGUCUCGGAUGAUUCAAGGUCUUGUACACACCGCCCGUCAUACCAUGGGAGUGGGUUUUACAAAUAGUUAGCCUAACCUACUGGGAGGCGAUUACAGUAGUGCAGGAUUCAUGACUGGGAAGAUGAAGUCGUAACAAGGCA